UACGUAGGUGGCAAGCGUUGUCCGGAAUUAUUGGGCGUAAAGAGCUCGUAGGCGGUUUGUCGCGUCGAAUGUGAAAACCCGGGGCUCAACCCCGGGCCUGCAUUCGAUACGGGCAGACUAGAGUUCGGUAGGGGAGUCUGGAAUUCCUGGUGUAGCGGUGAAAUGCGCAGAUAUCAGGAGGAACACCGGUGGCGAAGGCGGGACUCUGGGCCGAUACUGACGCUGAGGAGCGAAAGCGUGGGGAGCGAACAGG
rnacentral:rRNA from 1 species